UGCCCAGCAACUCCCUACCUCCUCGUGGUACAGGCCGGGGUACGAGUAACCUUGGGGAAGAUCGGGUAACCAACCCCCGGUGGGAACUUUGGUCGUAUGCUGACAGGGAAGG
rfam:Aedes aegypti strain Liverpool supercont1.211 genomic scaffold, whole genome shotgun sequence.